rnacentral:rRNA from 1 species
GAUGAACGCUGGCGGCGUGCCUAAUACAUGCAAGUCGAGCGAACAGACGAGGAGCUUUCUCCUCUGACGUUAGCGGCGGACGGGUGAGUAACACGUGGAUAACCUACCUAUAAGACUGGGAUAAUUUCGGGAAACCUGAGCUAAUACCGGAUAAUAUAUUGAACCUCAUGGUUCAAUAGUGAAAUACGGUUUUUCUGUCACUUAUAGGUUGAUCCGAGCCGCAUUAGCUAGUUGGUAAGGUAACGGCUUACCAAGGCAACGAUGCGUAGCCGACCUGAGAGGGUGAUCGGCCACACUGGAACUGAGACACGGUACCGACUCCUACGGGAGGAAGCAGUAGGGAAUCUUCCGCAAUGGGCGAAAGCCUGACGGAGCAACACCGCGUGAGUGAUGAAGGACUUAGGAUCGUAAAACUCUGUUAUUAGGGAAGAACAAAUGUGUAAGUACCUAUGCACGUAUUGACGGUACCUAAUCAGAAAGCCACGGCUAACUACGUG